GAUAAUUGUUUCAUUAAAAUGAAUCAGGGUCAAAGGUUUCAGUUGUUUGGAAAGGCCUGGGACACCAGCAGUAUCACACUCAGCAGGGAUUUAAGGCUGAGAUUAGAUUCUUUUCCCGACUGCCAUGCAAUCCUAUCCCUCCCCACAGUAAAUCCUCCAUUUUUGCAAAUUUCCAAGAACUUUCUGAGCACAGACACCUGAAGGGUGCAAAAGGAGUCACAAGUUAAGUAAUGAAAUCGUCUUUCUGAGUGAAAUAUCUAAGAACUGUAUUAAGACUAUUUUCUAUAACCUAACAGGGGUUGGGAACCUGUGGCCUCAAGGCCAUAUAUGGCCCUCUAGGUCCUCAAGUGUGGCCCUUUGACUGAAUCCAAACUUCACAGAACAAAUCCCUUUAAUAAAAGGAUUUGUUCUGUAGAACUUGGACUUGGU
rnacentral:lncRNA from 1 species